AAGAACAUUAAAAACACGUGUUAAAGAACACAUAUCCGAUUUAAAAUAUAGUCGUCUGAACUCCGCUUUUUAUGAUCAUUGUGUAAUCAAUAAUUGUAGUAUAAACCAAUCUAAUAUACAAAUUUUACAUAAAGAAAAACGGAUUUAUGACAGAAAAUUUAAAGAAAGUGUGGAAAUAUUACGAAACAAAAACCAAGGCUGUAUAAAUAAAAACUUAAGUGUUAAAAUUCAUGAAAAUUGGUUAAAAAUAUUAUAAUGAAAUGUACUAGAUUAAUACAAUUUAUAAUAAUAGAAUGGUAAAAAAGAAUUAUUUAAUGAAACAAUGUUCUGUAUUAACGUCAUAUGUAAAUUAGAUAAUAAGAAAAUAUGCAGAGUAAACUUUAAGAGAAAUAGUGAUUUAUUGUAUAAAAAAAUUAAAAAUUUUUUUGUAAUUUCCUUAGGGAUUUUCAAAUGUUUGUCGAUUAAUUUGUUAACUAGUAUAACUUACGGCACAUAGUGCUAUAUGCAAAUUGUCGGAUCAGUCGACGAGGUGGCAAAAAAAGACUUUUGAAAUUUGUAAGUUUUAGUUUUUUAAAAUCUGCAGAGUUUAUCUUGUUUAUGUGAUAAAAUGUAGAAAAGGUUUUGUUUUUAACCUGUAUAGUUAAAAUUGUGAUAAAAAAUUGAUAUUGAAAAUGUUAAAAAAACCUAAGUGUAGUCUGAUUUCUACUGUAUGUGCAGUGUCCAUGCUGAAAUGAGUUAGCUGAAGAGGGGCUGAUGCCCGAAACGUUGAUGUAUGGAAAAAACGUUCUAACUAAAUAAAAGAUUCAACUAGCCCAGUGUUGAAAAAAACGUCA